GACGAACGCUAGCGGCGUGCCUAAGGUAUGCAAGUCGAACGGCCCGCAAGGGUAGUGGCGAACGGUCGAGUAACACGUAGACAACCUGCCUCCGAGUGGGGGAUAACAGCUCGAAAGGGCUGCUAAUACCGCAUACGGUGGCGCGGCGCUGCCGCGUUGACCAAAGGCGCAAGCCGCUGGGAGAUGGGUCUGCGGCCUAUCAGCUAGUUGGUGAGGUAACGGCUCACCAAGGCGACGACGGGUAGCUGGUCUGAGAGGAUGAUCAGCCGGACGGGGACUGAGACACGGCCCCGACUCCUUCGGGAGGCAGCAAUGAGGAAUAUUGCGCAAUGGGCGAAAGCCUGACGCAGCGACGCCGCGUGGGUGAGGAAGUUCUUCGGAAUGUAAAGCCCUUUUGUCAGGGACGAGAAUGGACGGUACCUGACGAAUAAAGCCCCGGCUAACUACGUGCCAGCAGCCGCAGUAAG
rnacentral:rRNA from 1 species